GCUACGGGAGGCAGCAGUGGGGAAUAUUGCACAAUGGGGGAAACCCUGAUGCAGCGACGCCGCGUGAGUGAAGAAGUAUUUCGGUAUGUAAAGCUCUAUCAGCAGGGAAGAUAAUGACGGUACCUGACUAAGAAGCCCCGGCUAACUACGUGCCAGCAGCCGCGGUAAGACGUAGGGGGCAAGCGUAAUCCGGAUUUACUGGGUGUAAAGGGAGCGUAGGGGGCAGGGCCAGUCAGAUGUGAAAACCCGGGGCCCCACCCCGGGAGUGCAUUUGAAACGGUCCAGCUGGAGUGCAGGCUCGGUAAGCGGCCUUCCUAGUGUAGCGUUGAAAUGCAUAGAUAUUAGGAGGAGCCCCAGUGGCGAAGGCGGCUUACUGGACUGUACCUGACACUGAGGCUCGACCGCGUGGGGAGCAAACAGGAUUAGAUACCCCUGUAGUC
rnacentral:rRNA from 1 species